AGAAUCAACGCUGGCGGCGUGCCUCAGACAUGCAAGUCGAACGAUUAAAGCUCUCUUCGGAGAGUGUAUAGAGUGGCGCACGGGUGAGUAACACGUAAGUAAUCUACCUUUGAGUGGGGAAUAACAUCGGGAAACCGAUGCUAAUACCGCAUAAUGCAGCGGCAUCGCAAGAUGACAGUUGUUAAAGAUUUUAUCGCUUGAAGAGGAGCUUGCGGCAGAUUAGCUUGUUGGUAAGGUAACGGCUUACCAAGGCUACGAUCUGUAACCGGUCUAAGAGGACGGUCGGUCACACUGACACUGAAUAACGGGUCAGACUCCGUACGGGAGGCAGCAGGUCGGGUAAUUUUGGGACAAGUGGGACGAAAGUCCUAGACCCAGCAACGCCGCGUAGAAGG
rnacentral:rRNA from 1 species